AGAGUUUGAUCCUGGCUCAGGACAAACGCUGGCGGCGUGCGUAACACAUGCAAGUCGUGCGGGCGAGCUUCGGCUCGUCAGCGGCGGACGGGUGAGUAACACGUGAAUCACCAACCUCCAGUGGGGGAUACCCGGCGGAAACGCUGGUUAAUCCCGCAUACGUUUCAGACGAAAGAAAGCCGUAAGGCGCUGGUGGACGG
rnacentral:rRNA from 1 species